AUACGGAGGGUGCAAGCGUUACACGGAAUCACUGGGCGUAAAGCGCGCGCAGGCGGGCUGAUAAGUUGGAUGUGAAAGCCUACGGCUCAACCGUAGAACUGCAUCCAAAACUGUCAGUCUAGAGUCUGGGAGGGGAAGAUGGAAUUAGUUGUGUAGGGGUAAAACCCGUAGAGAUAACUAGGAAUACCAAAAGCGAAGGCGAUCUUCUGGAACAGUACUGACGCUGAGGCGCGAAAGCGUGGGGAGCAAACAGGAUUAGAAACCCUAGUAGUCC
rnacentral:rRNA from 1 species